rnacentral:snRNA from 1 species
AGUAUCGUAGCCAAUGAGGUUUAUCCGAGGCGCGAUUAUUGCUAAUAGAAUAGUUUUGGUUUAA